rfam:Pelodiscus sinensis unplaced genomic scaffold scaffold222, whole genome shotgun sequence.
GCUGUGAUGGCCUAGUGGAUAAGGUGUUAGACUUGUAAUCCAAUAGUCUUUCCCUGCACAGGUUCAAAUCCUGAUCACAGUG